rnacentral:rRNA from 1 species
CUGCAGCCCGAGUGGUGAUCGAUUUUAUUGAGCCUAAAGCGUCCGUAGCCGGACUAGUAAACCCUUGGGUAAAUUGGGCAGCUUGACUGUCCAAAUUCCGAGGGGACUGCUAGUCUUGGGACCGGGAGAGGUCAGAGGUACUCAAGGGGUAGGGGCUAAAUCCUGUAAUCCUUUGGGGACCACCAGUGGCGAAGGCGUCUGACUAGAACGGAUCCGACGGUAAGGGACGAAACCCUGGGGCGCGAACCGGAUUAGAUACCCGAGUAGUCC